rnacentral:rRNA from 1 species
AUUGAACGCUGGCGGCAGGCUUAACACAUGCAAGUCGAGCGGGGUGAGGUGCUUCGGUACUGAUCCUAGCGGCGGACGGGUGAGUAAUGCUUAGGAAUCUGCCAUUUAGUGGGGGACAACAUUCCGAAAGGAAUGCUAAUACCGCAUACGUCCUACGGGAGAAAGCAGGGGAUCUUAGGACCUUGCGCUAAAUGAUGAGCCUCAGUCGGAUUAGCUAGUUGGUGGGGUAAAGGCCUACCAAGGCGACGAUCUGUAGCGGGUCUGAGAGGAUGAUCCGCCACACUGGAACUGAGACACGGCCUAGACUCCUACGGGAGGCAGCAGUGGGGAAUAUUGGACAAUGGGCGGAAGCCUGAUCCAGCCAUGCCGCGUGUGUGAAGAAGGCCUUUUGGUUGUAAAGCACUUUAAGCGAGGAGGAGGCUACCUAGAUUAAUACUCUGGGAUAGUGGACGUUACUCGCAGAAUAAGCACCGGCUAACUCUGUGCCAGCCGCCGCGGUAAGAC